AUCGAACGCUGGCGGCAGGCUUAACACAUGCAAGUCGAGCGGGGGAGGUUGCUUCGGUAACUGACCUAGCGGCGGACGGGUGAGUAAUGCUUAGGAAUCUGCCUAUUAGUGGGGGACAACAUCUCGAAAGGGAUGCUAAUACCGCAUACGUCCUACGGGAGAAAGCAGGGGACCUUCGGGCCUUGCGCUAAUAGAUGAGCCUAAGUCGGAUUAGCUAGUUGGUGGGGUAAAGGCCUACCAAGGCGACGAUCUGUAGCGGGUCUGAGAGGAUGAUCCGCCAAACGGGGACUGAGACACGGCCCAGAGUCCUACGGGAGGCAGCAGUGGGGAAUAUUGGACAAUGGGGGGAAGCCUGAUCCGGCCAUGCCGCGUGUGUGAAGAAGGCCUUUUGGUUGUAAAGAACUUUAAGCGAGGAGGAGGCUACUAGUAUUAAUACUACUGGAUAGUGGACGUUACUCGCAGAAUAAGCACCGGCUAACUCUGUGCCAGCAGCCGCAGUAACAC
rnacentral:rRNA from 1 species